rnacentral:tRNA from 1 species
AUUUCAAUAUCUUAUUUUAAAAGUUUAACAUUGAAAUUGUUAAGAUGGAUUUUCCUUGAAGUA